ensembl:lncRNA
UCAGCACAUAUAUGUCACUUUAUUAAUUGCUGUUUCUGUUCAAAGAAUAUGUGGCUGCAAAUCUUUGCUAGACCAGGUAACACAGAAAAAGGAGGUGGAUAAGUCUCUCACAGAAGGCAACAAUGAUAAGAUCAUGUAUGAACUUAACAUCUGAGCGACAUUUUCUUUUCAGGAAAUACAGUACUCAGUUCCAAAAUUCCUCUGCUAAAAUUUUAACUAAAACCCAUGGAUAAGCAACCUUGAAUCCAAGACUUCAUUUCUGAUGAAGAGAGAACAGCAAAUCCAGCCUGCCCAGCAGGCCUGAGAGCUGUGGGGGCUGCUGGAGGUCCUCUGUGGUCUCCUACCUGUAAUUGGCCUCCUGGGGCUCAGAGAAUGCCGUUUGCCACACUGGUGGAGCUCUUGGCAUAAGCUACUUACAGCUGUUCAGAGCCUCUGUGUACAGCAGCCGGGGCCUGCUGGGUCUGGCAUCUGCUGACACAGCGCUGGGCUGGGGGGGAGGGGGAGUCAGGUUCUGAUUUCUCUUCUUGAGUGUGCACAGUAAGAACCUGCAGAUUGUAAAGGCUACGAGAAGCUGACCGUCAUCCUGACCACAGCCCAGAGACUUUAGGGGAUCACUUAGUACACUCUUUCUGCAGAGCCCUAGGACAUUUUCACCUUCCCCUCUUGAAUAACAAUAAAGAUAUUAUAACCUUUAUCUAGAUUCGUCAGAGAUCCUGAUUGAGGACCCCACAGCAGAGGUAGCAGAAAGGUGGGACAAACCCGUGCUCAUGCACUGGCCUUUUUCUUCUUUUUCUUUCCUUUUCGAUUUGGACCCUUACAGUGUUUCAUUUUGCUUUGUCUAGUUAAUUUGAGUUAGUUGCCAACUUAUAAAAACCAGGACAUUUCACAUUUUAAAAAAUCAGAUUAUUAAAUUCUCUGGCAACACAGUUUGAGUUCCAGCUUGGCGAUGAAUAACUGGGCUGGGGAGUGGUGGGCUCCUUGGAGAGGCCUGGGUGUCGCCUGCCAGCCCCCCAUGGAAAACUCCUGACCCUCAGGAUCCCAGACCCACCCUGCUCAACACCUCCUUUAGCAUUAGGGAUUGCCGCAAACACAACAUGCCUUUACAAUAAGGAUCUCAAACCUAAUGACCGAUGAUGAAUAAUACUUGGCUUGCUUAAAUGAUAAAUUUGCUUUUAAAAAAGUAAAAUACUACAUAUAAAUUCAAGAUCUGUGUUUCUCCUUCCCAAAUUUCAAUCUCUAACUAUACAGGCAACCACCACUCUUGAGUUUUCACUCUCUUGCUGGCUUAACAAAUUGUCUUCUACUUUAGUACCCAUAUUACUUUUUAGAAAUCUAAAUAAGAUCACAAUUACUUGUCUGAAAUUUUUCAGUGACAUUCUUCUGCACCAUGUAAUAAAAACUUCUAAUGCACAAUCUCUCUCCCAAGUCUUCUUAGAAUUGGGGCUCUUACCGUAUUGAGGUCUUCCUGACCACUACCUAAAACAGUUUCUCCCUCUGCUCUGCCCUCCUAUCCCUAGUUGCUCUUUAAAACAUCACCCUGCUUAGGUGUUUUGCAUUUGAGUGUGAUUCACACUCUGAAAUAAGAUCGUUUGCUUAUUUGUUUAUCAUGUUUCUUCCACUAAAGUAAAGGUCUGUGAAGUCAGGUGCUUCUCCGCCUUGGUUCUGCAAGAAUUCCCAGCACUCAGACUGAUCUCAGGCACGGAGUUGUUGCUAAUACAAUGUUCUAGUCAAUAAUUCUUCCUUCUCCUACCUCAUACUUAGCUAUUGUGUAAGCUCUGCAUCCUCUGACACUGCCUUGACUCCUAGAAAGAAAACUUUUAUCAGAUAUGGGGAAACAUAUUCAGAAUAAGAACAAAGGUCAAGCCUUUCUAAAAGCAUAUAUAAUUCUUCACUGAUUUUUCAGAAGGUAAGCAAAUGCCUUCCCACUGGAUGGCAGCCUUUCUGAGUGAGCAGGCCCAGAGGUUCCCGGUGAAACAGCUCUACCUUCCUUGCUUUUCUCUUUCAGAGGGCAGGGCUUUUCUUGGCUAUGAGUCAUUGCCCUGAGCCCUGGAUCUUAGGAUCCUUUUUUCUGUGUCUGUUGUGCUCUUCUUGCUCACUGUCCUCCACUAAAAGACUCCUGUACUCCGGACAGUCUUUCUCCAACAAGGAUUCAAGCUUCUCUCCUUGAAAAUAACUUCUCAAAAAGCUAGUCGGUUUAGGGUCCUGUCCCCUGCAGUCUCAGCCUCUGGAUCCCAGGGAGCCUAGUCCUUCAGAAUACUUUGCCGCUCACUACCCCCGAGUCUUUUCCGAUCUUGCUCCCAAUGUGCACUUGCCUCCUCAGGGCCAGGGUCAGGGUAUGCAAAACCGAGACCUCUACUACACUAGCAGCAGGAACACAGAGGAAGCCAGGGUGAGGAGGGUGCCGGGCCUGAGAAAGUCGAGCCCAGUGAGAGCUGAAAGGCACAGACCAGAUUUGAUCCAGCCCACUGCAGUCCGGGAGGCCACUCUGUCCAGUCACAACUGUAGGAAAGGGCAAGGGAGGGGUCCUAGGAUGAGCAUUUAAAUUCAGGCAGUGGUUAUGUCAUACCUGGACAUGUAAAUGGUAAGACUGAGAGACUAGGUAAAGGGUUGCUAAGCCUUCAUCGACAGUCCACAUCCAAUCAGGCUUGGCAAGUUGUCCGCAACCCUUCCUCUGCCAUAAGCCUCUCAUUGGUCAGCAAGCCUAGCCUGGUUAUUUCAGUUUUCAAGAAGUCCAGAGACAAGAGAUUCCAAGACUGCAAUUCAGCCACUCAGAGAAAUGAUCGCUAUCUGGGUCUUUCUUUCUUUCCCCUACGCCAUCUUUAAACGUUGGCUCUCAAGGGCUGUCACGGGUACCGGAUGGCGCCACAGCUCCGAGAUCCAGGUCCAGGGGCAGGAAACGGACGGCUUCCUGCCUCCAUUGUCUUUUUAAAGUUGAGACAAAAUUUCUCAAAAAUGGAAAGGGACUGGAAUGCUAACCCUAGUGCAGCGGCCAGCAAAUGCCCGUCACAUCUCGGUCAGUCUUUCGAGCGUGGAGCGACCCUGAGAAUCGCAGUCGGUUUCCGCGGAGAAGAGCUACUGGUUACCGCACUUCCAAGUACGUGAGCAAGGUCGGACUCUAUUAGGAUGGAAAGGGCAAGGGCAGCUGGGGAAGAGGUCUGCUCGCAGGGCCGGGUUGCGGCGCUCCCGACUCCGGGCCUCUGGUCCCGCCAGGGGGCUGCACUGAAGCUGGGCCUCGGCCACGAAGGCGAAGCCGGAGACGGCCGUGUCCCUCCGCUCAGGGCCUCGGGACCGGCCCCGGGCAGCACCGGCGGGAAAGGCCGCCGGGAAGUGCUGCAGCCCCACCCUCCGUCCAGGCGGACCCAGGCCGCGGCGGAUGGGGCGACGAGAGAGGUCCCGCAGGGCAGCGGCAGGCGCGGUUCCGGGCUUCCGGCCUGGGGGCUUCCGGCCUCCGCGAUUCCGGCCUCCGGGCGUCGUCGCUCCGCAGAGGGCGCCCUAAGGUCACCGGCAGGGCCAGGCGUGGCCGGGCCGCUUCUGCGGAGCCAACCCGGCUCAGCCUCCCGCUGCUGGAUCCGAGUCCGGGCCCGCCCUUCCUCCGCAAGCCUUCCUGGCCAUGUCAGCCUCACGGGCCAAAAACCGGAUACUGGAACGAAAGACAAGACUUAAGAGAGGAUGAGAAAGAUAAAUUCUGAACAACAAAACCAAGCAAGGAGCCAGGCAAGAACAGCGACUGCGAUGGGCCAAGCUUCUGAAAUAAAGAACAAACUUACCAGCUGGAGUUUGAAGAACUGAUUGGAAUCCAGUCCUGGCAACUGUAUAAGAAGAAGAGAAAGAGUCUUCCAGUAUAAAAUUCGAAUACAAUCAGAAAUAGCAAAAACAGUAUGUUUAAUUCAGCACUGAGAAAGACGAGGCUCUAAGUCCGAAGGCCUCACAGACUAAUUUUGUGUCCCAGGGAGGUGUUGGAUUUGGACACACACAUCCAUUGCCGUGCUACCGCUGGGUGACUGAAGAGACCCGAGAGCUAACAAGUAUCACCAGGAACCAGGCACUCCCUUGACAGCCACGUAUAGAUGUGUAAAAUAGCAAAGAAUCUGAGUGCAAGUUUGUACUUCAUCACGCAGUCUGAAACUCUGCCUAGCUCUUUCAAGCCCAGAGAAACGUGCAGCUCAUGCACAAACCAGUCCUGGCCUUAAACGAAGUAUUAAUGUUACCAUGGAUGUGGCCACUUCUGUAGCAUCCUGCACGACAGGUGUUCCCCAAAGAACUCUGACACUCGUCAAAUCCGUCCCUCUUGAAAGGCAGUGGUAGCGCGGGACAUGUCUUCUGGAAAAUUACACAUGUUCAGACAAAAUUGGGGCAUUUGCCACAGAGUUAUUUGGUAUUAAGUGAAAACUUCUGCCUGAGAAAACAAAGAAGUUUGCAUGAAGAAAAUGUGGAACUUCUUAUCCAACUUAAUUUGAGACAGAAAUUCAAAAAAUGAGACAGGA